CGUCAUUUAGCGCUUAUGUGCUUAAAGAGACUACCUUUUGUCUCCCUCAGGUGCUGUCUCAGCAGGGAGGAGAUGAAAAGGUUUCCUACAGUAACUACCGGUCUCCUGGUAUCUCCUCCAUGCUCUGGUGACUGUGCUGGAAAACACAGCAAACCUUCUUGGAUGGAUGUCCCAUCCUGGAGGAGCUGGACUUCCUCUGCAACCUGAAUGGGCUGUUGACGGCCGUGCGACAAAAAAAACAUCUGCCUACCAAAAAUUCACAAGCUGCCGCAGACACGAAGGACAACAGUCGGUUUGUGUUCCUGCUGCCACACGGUGUCGUCGACAGCGUAGAGUGUUGACGGAUCUGUUGUGCUGCUGAGUUAGCUGCACUUCUGUGUGAUCUGCUGGGAUUAAACAACAACAAAUGGGGUUCAUU